GGGGGUGCCUUGGACAAAAGUCAAAGUAUCAACGGUGCUGUCGACAAUCCUUGGAGAACCAGCAAAUGAUGUC
rnacentral:ribozyme from 1 species